GGGGUUGUGGCUCAGUGGUAAAGUGCUUGCCUAGCAUGUGUGAGACACUGAGUUCCAUCCUCAGCACCACA
rnacentral:tRNA from 1 species